CAAAACAGGAGACAGAACAAUAAUACAGCAGAGGCAGAGCUGGUGGAGAGGCUGAGAGGAACAGAUGAAAGAAAGAGAGCAGAAGAGGUUCUGCAUUGUGGUGGGCAGCACAGUUCUCCAGCAAGGACCCUGCUCAGGAUUACAGGGAGCUGUGGUCAUCCUCUGAGUCAAUACAGCUGCGGUGAAGCGUGUAACUCAAAUGUGCUCCUGAAAUAUCCCGGAAUGCAAAAACAGGAGGCUGGGACUCUGCAGCCAGUACAUGCUGGUGUGUCCCUUGGCAGCCUCCAGUUCAAGGCCUCAAGCACUUCCUUCUGGUGGAGCCAAGGGAUCUGACCAGAGAACAUGCC